rnacentral:rRNA from 1 species
UUCUACAGCCUAUUGGUAGCUUUGGGGUUGGCCAUCUUGGUGCAAAUUUCCCAAGUUAAACAGGUUCAGCACCUGGAUGGGAGACCAUCAAGGCAGCACAAGUGCUGUAGAAA